UGUAAAGUCUUGUCAAAUUCAUUGGUGCAAGUUCAAGAUACUUACCCCUAAUGGUGGUGAUAUAUUAAAGGCUGAAUUGCUUUCAAGUGGAAUAUGCAAUCUAGAUAAAACCACUUACAUGGUGAUGAAUUGCACAGCAGGAUUGGUAGUUGCACCAGAUGAGGGCAAUGAAGAAGAGAAGGGUGAUAAAAGAAGAGAAGGGGUCACUGCACCAGAUGGCGGUAAUGAAGAAGAGAGUGAUAGUAAAAGCAGAAGAGGGGUAAAUGCACCAGACGACAGUAAUGAAGAAGAGAAGGGCAAUGAAAGAAGUGGAAGGUAAUGAAGAAUAGCAAGCUAGAAGAGUGUAUGAAGCAGGUGAAGUUGGAGGCCUGAAGCCACUGCAUCCUUUUUGGAAUUUGUAAACUGCAAGUUUGAAAUUGUUUUUGUUUUGCAUAGACUGUAGUUUGAACUUCACCUACAUGUCCAGUUAAUUGUAUGACUUAGUUAA